rnacentral:rRNA from 1 species
UUUAUGGAGAGUUUGAUCCUGGCUCAGAGUGAACGCUGGCGGCGUGCCUAAUACAUGCAAGUCGAACGAUGAAGCUUCUAGCUUGCUAGAAUGCUGAUUAGUGGCGCACGGGUGAGUAAUGCAUAGGUCAUGUGCCUCUUAGUUUGGGAUAGCCAUUGGAAACGAUGAUUAAUACCAGAUACUCCCUACGGGGGAAAGAUUUAUCGCUAAGAGAUCAGCCUAUGUCCUAUCAGCUUGUUGGUAAGGUAAUGGCUUACCAAGGCUAUGACGGGUAUCCGGCCUGAGAGGGUGAACGGACACACUGGAACUGAGACACGGUCCAGACUCCUACGGGAGGCAGCAGUAGGGAAUAUUGCUCAAUGGGGGAAACCCUGAAGCAGCAACGCCGCGUGGAGGAUGAAGGUUUUAGGAUUGUAAACUCCUUUUGUUAGAGAAGAUAAUGACGGUAUCUAACGAAUAAGCACCGGCUAACUCCGUGCCAGCAGCCGCGGUAAUACGGAGGGUGCAAGCGUUACUCGGAAUCACUGGGCGUAAAGAGCGCGUAGGCGGGAUAGUCAGUCAGGUGUGAAAUCCUAUGGCUUAACCAUAGAACUGCAUUUGAAACUACUAUUCUAGAGUGUGGGAGAGGUAGGUGGAAUUCUUGGUGUAGGGGUAAAAUCCGUAGAGAUCAAGAGGAAUACUCAUUGCGAAGGCGACCUGCUGGAACAUUACUGACGCUGAUUGUGCGAAAGCGUGGGGAGCAAACAGGAUUAGAUACCCUGGUAGUCCACGCCCUAAACGAUGGAUGCUAGUUGUUGGAGGGCUUAGUCUUUCCAGUAAUGCAGCUAACGCAUUAAGCAUCCCGCCUGGGGAGUACGGUCGCAAGAUUAAAACUCAAAGGAAUAGACGGGGACCCGCACAAGCGGUGGAGCAUGUGGUUUAAUUCGAAGAUACACGAAGAACCUUACCUAGGCUUGACAUUGAGAGAAUCCGCUAGAAAUAGUGGAGUGUCUGGCUUGCCAGACCUUGAAAACAGGUGCUGCACGGCUGUCGUCAGCUCGUGUCGUGAGAUGUUGGGUUAAGUCCCGCAACGAGCGCAACCCCCUUUCUUAGUUGCUAACAGGUUAUGCUGAGAACUCUAAGGAUACUGCCUCCGUAAGGAGGAGGAAGGUGGGGACGACGUCAAGUCAUCAUGGCCCUUACGCCUAGGGCUACACACGUGCUACAAUGGGGUGCACAAAGAGAAGCAAUACUGCGAAGUGGAGCCAAUCUUCAAAACACCUCUCAGUUCGGAUUGUAGGCUGCAACUCGCCUGCAUGAAGCUGGAAUCGCUAGUAAUCGCAAAUCAGCCAUGUUGCGGUGAAUACGUUCCCGGGUCUUGUACUCACCGCCCGUCACACCAUGGGAGUUGUGUUUGCCUUAAGUCAGGAUGCUAAAUUGGCUACUGCCCACGGCACACACAGCGACUGGGGUGAAGUCGUAACAAGGUAACCGUAGGUGAACCUGCGGUUGGAUCACCUCCUUU